GUAAAUUCUCGUUCUCCACCAGCUUUACCAACAUCGGCAGCCAGUCUACGUAUAUAUAUUUAUGAUUGAUAGUUCAAUGAGAUACAUUACCUGGUUCUGGCAAAGUCAAGUGGAUAAACAAAGCACAAAGAUGUAGCUCCUGCAGCACCACCAGAUGCUAGGUUACC